rnacentral:rRNA from 1 species
AGAGUUUGAUCCUGGCUCAGGAUGAACGCUAGCGGCAGGCCUAAUACAUGCAAGUCGAACGGGAGCAAGUAGCAAUACUUGUUCUAGUGGCGCACGGGUGCGUAACGCGUAUGCAACCUACCUUCUAUUGGGGGAUAGCCUUCCGAAAGGAAGAUUAAUACCGCAUAAUAUCAUUUGAGGGCAUCUGAAGAUGAUUAAAGCUACGGCGAUAGAAGAUGGGCAUGCGUGACAUUAGCUAGUUGGUUGAGGUAACGGCUCACCAAGGCUACGAUGUCUAGGGGUUCUGAGAGGAUGAUCCCCCACACUGGUACUGAGAUACGGACCAGACUCCUACGGGAGGCAGCAGUAGGGAAUAUUGGGCAAUGGACGAAAGUCUGACCCAGCCAUGCCGCGUGCAGGAUGAAGGCCUUCUGGGUUGUAAACUGCUUUUAUCUAGGAAGAAAAUACUCUUGCGAGAGGAACUGACGGUACUAGAUGAAUAAGCACCGGCUACUCCGUGCCAGCAGCCGCGGUAAUACGGAGGGUGCAAGCGUUGUCCGGAUUUAUUGGGUUUAAAGGGUGCGUAGGCGGCCCUGUAAGUCAGUGGUGAAAGCCCAUAGCUCAACUAUGGAACUGCCAUUGAUACUGCAGGGCUUGAGUACAGACGAGGUUGGCGGAAUUGAUAGUGUAGCGGUGAAAUGCAUAGAUACUAUCAAGAACACCGAUUGCGAAGGCAGCUAACUAGGCUGUAACUGACGCUGAGGCACGAAAGCGUGGGGAGCGAACAGGAUUAGAUACCCUAGUAGUCC